GUAGGGAAUAUUGCGCAAUGGGGGAAACCCUGACGCAGCGACGCCGCGUGAGUGAUGAAGGCCUUCGGGUCGUAAAGCUCUGUUGCAGGGGAAUAAAAAAAUGAAGGUACCCUGUGAGGAAGGAUCGGCUAACUUCGUGCCAGCAGCCGCGGUAAGACGAGGGAUCCUAGCGUUGCUCGGAAUCAUUGGGCGUAAAGAGGGCGUAGGUGGCUUGGUAAGUCAGGUGUGAAAGCCCAGGGCUCAACCCUGGAAGUGCAUUUGAUACUGCUGAGCUUGAGUGUCGGAGAGGUUACCGGAAUACCUGGUGUAGUGGUGAAAUACGUAGAUAUCAGGUGGAACACCGGAGGCGAAGGCGGGUAACUGGACGAACACUGACACUGAGGCCCGAAAGCGUGGGGAUCAAACAGGAUUAGAAACCCUAGUAGUC
rnacentral:rRNA from 1 species